GAUGAACGCUGGCGGCGUGCCUAAUACAUGCAAGUCGAGCGAACGGACGAGAAGCUUGCUUCUCUGAUGUUAGCGGCGGACGGGUGAGUAACACGUGGAUAACCUACCUAUAAGACUGGGAUAACUUCGGGAAACCGGAGCUAAUACCGGAUAAUAUUUUGAACCGCAUGGUUCAAAAGUGAAAGACGGUCUUGCUGUCACUUAUAGAUGGAUCCGCGCUGCAUUAGCUAGUUGGUAAGGUAACGGCUUACCAAGGCAACGAUGCAUAGCCGACCUGAGAGGGUGAUCGGCCCCUCUGGAACUGAGACACGGUCCAGACUCCUACGUGAGGCAGCAGUAGGGAAUCUUCCGCAAUGGGCGAAAGCCUGCCGGAGCAACGCCGCGUGAGUGAUGAAGGUCUUCGGAUCGUAAAACUCUGUUAUUAGGGAAGAACAUAUGUGUAAGUAACUGUGCACAUCUUGCCGGUACCUAAUCAGAAAGCCCCGGCUAACUACGU
rnacentral:rRNA from 1 species